rnacentral:rRNA from 1 species
GGGCCCGCACAAGCGGUGGAGUAUGUGGUUUAAUUCGAUGCAACGCGAAGAACCUUACCAGGGUUUGACAUCCUGCGAAUUUCUGGGAAACCGGAAAGUGCCUUCGGGAACUCUGAGACAGGUGCUGCAUGGCUGUCGUCAGCUCGUGUUGUGAAAUGUUGGGUUAAGUCCCGCAACGAGCGCAACCCUUAUCCUUGUUUGCCAGCGAGUAAUGUCGGGAACUCCAGGGAGACUGCCGGUGAUAAACCGGAGGAAGGUGUGGAUGACGUCAAGUCAUCAUGCCCCUUACAUCCUGGGCUACACACGUACUACAAUGCUACGGACAAAGGGCAGCAAGUUCGCGAGGACAAG